CAUUGAAAUACCGGUUACGGUACGAUCACUCUAGUUAAGCAACAUUGGGCCUGGUCAGUACCUAGAUAGGUAACCGCUGGGGAAUAAUAGGUGCUGCAAG